CACGUAGGGCGCAAGCGUUGUCCGGAAUUAUUGGGCGUAAAGAGCUCGUAGGCGGUCUGUUGCGUCCGCUGUGAAAACUCGGGGCUUAACCCCGAGCCUGCAGUGGAUACGGGCAGACUAGAGGUAGGUAGGGGAGAAUGGAAUUCCCGGUGUAGCGGUGAAAUGCGUAGAUAUCAGAAGGAACAUCAGUGGCGAAAGCGGCUUCCUGGUCCAGUACCGACGUUCAGGCACGAAAGCGUGGGGAGCAAACAGG
rnacentral:rRNA from 1 species